rnacentral:rRNA from 1 species
ACGACGCUGCGGCGUGGAUUAGGCAUGCAAGUCGAACGGUAUCAUCCUUUCGGGGGUGAGAGAGUGGCGAACUGGUGAGUAACACGUAGGUUAUCUACCCUCAAGACGGGGACAACCCAGGGAAACUUGGGCUAAUACCGGAUGUGAGCAACUUUUAGUUGUUUGAAAGGUGGCGUAAGCUGUCGCUUGGGGAUGAGCCUGCGUCCUAUUAGUUAGUUGGUGAGGUAACGGCUCACCUAGGCAAUGAUAGGUAGGCGGCCUUAACGGGUGGUCGCCCACACUGGGAUUGAGAUACGGCCCAGACUCCUACGGGAGGCAGCAGUCGAGAAUAGUCUACAAUGGUCGGAAGACUGAUAGUGCGACGCCGCGUGAACGAUGAAUCCCUUCGGGGUGUAAAGUUCUUUUAUAUGUGAGCAGUGCUUCUUAUAUUAACAGUAUGGGGAGAGAGAUAUUAGCAUAUGAAUAAGCAACGGCUAACUCCGUG